UAGAUAUUCAAUGCUGGAAGGCUUGGAUAUCGAAAGCGCAAGCGCCAGAGGGUGAGUCUGCGGCCUAUCAGGUAGUAGGUGGUGUAACGGACCACCUAGCCUAAGACGGGUACGGGCCUUGAGAGAGGGAGCCCGGAGAUGGGUUCUGAGACACGAACCCAGGCCCUACGGGGCGCAGCAGGCGCGAAACCUUCGCACUGCGCGAAAGCGCGACGAGGGGAGCCCGAGUGCCUCUCCAUUUCGGGGAGGCUUUUCACAAGCCUAAAAAGCUUGUGGAAUAAGGGCUGGGCAAGACGGGUGCCAGCCGCCGCGGUAAUACCCGCAGCUCGAGUGGUGGUCGCUUUUAUUGAGCCUAAAACGUUCGUAGUCGGCCUUGUAAAUCCCUGGGUAAAUCGGACCGCUUAACGGUUCGAAUUCCGGGGAGACUGCAAGGCUAGGGACCGGGCGAGGUCAGAGGUACUUUCGGGGUAGGAGUGAAAUCCUGUAAUCCCGAAGGGACCACCUGUGGCGAAAGCGUCUGACUUGAACGGCUCCGACGAUGAGGAACGAAGGCUAGGGGAGCAAACCGGAUUAGAUACCCGGGUAGUCCUAGCUGUAAACUCUGCCCGCUUGGUGUGGCCUGUCCUUCGGGGGCAGGCUGUGCCGGAGCGAAGGUGUUAAGCGGGCUGCUUGGGGAGUACGGCCGCAAGGUUGAAACUUAAAGGAAUUGGCGGGGGAGCACCGCAACGGGAGGAUGCGUGCGGUUUAA
rnacentral:rRNA from 1 species